GGUUUUGGCCUAAAUUCGGCUAAUUUCCUCACUGGUGAAACCUUUGAUCUCAAUAGAGUUUUCUGUUCCCAAAACUAGAAUCUGUCAAGAACAGAGUGGACUAAGUUUUGUAGUCUUUACUCUCUUUACUCUUUGCCACAAAUUGCGAUGAUUAGGAGUGCAAAGGCGAAUUUAGUUAUUGCGCACAUGCAUUUCACAGAGUACGUGCUCCCUAACGAAACUAUUCAAAUUCACAAUUUGAUCAAACGGAAACGAAAAUAGAUUUAGACCAAUUAACAUUUGGAACACACCGACACUGUUUUUUCUACACCAUAAUUACUUUAAUUUCCAAUGAAACGCUGCGUUUGCCUUGCAGCAUUGCGUUGCAGUGCAUUCGGUGCGCAACUGUGUAAACGGCUUAACAGAAAUGUUAGCAGAAGGUGAAUGUUGAACUUUUGUUGCAUACAUUUCCAGAUGAUACUGUAUACUAUUUUGCGCAAGAACGCUAUCGGUGUGUUCGAAAAGUAACGCUUAAACGGCAAGAUGUUUUCGUAACAGGACGGAUGUUGACAUUGUCGUGUCCUCACGUGAAUAGCAUGACACGCUUUUAAUGUCAAUGCUAAGGCUAGCCGUUGUAGUAGAUAGAACAAUGUCGUGUGUAAUUUCGGGCUAUUCUUUGGGUACUGAAAUCAGUAGGUUCUGAUAAAAACGUAUUUCGAUGUGACGUCUGCUCUAGUUCGCCCACACGAAUGGCCUCUCAACUCUAUCGUAAAUCGUGUCGUUGCGUUUAAUCGGCUAAGUCAAAACCAUGAUUUUCCAAUGAUGAGGGAUAAGAAUUUGCCAAGAAAAUUAUUUUGUAAUAUUAUAAUUAUACUGUAUAGACAUGCUGGUUAGAUAUAAAUCAGGACACCAUCACUGUCAGUCAGAUGUUUUUGUGACAUUGUUGCUGGAUGCAUGAAUGAAUGGUUUAGAUGUUUCACCAAAGGAAUAUGCAGGCAUUUCUCCUUCCCUGUGGAUUCUAAGUUAUGUUGGCCUGAUCUUGGCAGUGGUUACCUUCUGAAGAUGUGGCAUUCCAUUCUCACUUGAACUAGGCCCCAUGGCCUUGUUUCGGCUCCAAGCUGUGACUGGGAGCUUCUACUUUUGCAGGUUUCUGCAUUGAGGGUGCAGUGAACCGGGACCAGGUUCUAGAGCAGCUUGGCACCUGCUAAGGUGAAGACCAAGUGUUGGAGGUGGUGGGCAAGAACAAGGCCAAGCUGACUGUGAACCAUGUUGGCUGUGCCAUGGGCAUGCUCUGGCAGUUCCAGUGAGAGAAGCCACAGAUGCUGAGAACGGUUGAGUUCUUUAAAAGCCACCCUGAGUUCCUGACUCUCCGGGUGCUGGCUGGGAACAAAAUUGAGCUUGUGGAUGAUUUCACAUUGGUGGACAUGCUCUAAAAUGUUCUCAGGUACAGAUGUUGGCUAGAUUUCUGAUGCCUUCACUGUCUAAGUUUGCUGUCUGCCUAAGGGAUCAACAUCUGCAGAACAGUCCUCUCAUGGGUCAGAUCACUGACAUUUUGAAUCAAAAACUCUCCACAAUUGAUGAUGUGAGGCUGGAGAGUACAACACUGCUUUAGGCAGAGGAGUUUAAUGCCAGCGGGCCCUGGCUGUGGCAGAGACACUGGAGGAGAUUCAGCGUAGAAACCUGCAGCUGAUCCAAAGACAGUCUACCCAUAUGAGGUGACCAUGCUACCUGGACUCGACGAAGGCGUAAUUUCAUGGGUGGAGGCAGUGCUGCUCCAGUGUAAUCUGAAUGAACCUUUGCAAUGGCUGUCGCUAAGUGGGUGAGCAAUGACCCGUCCUACCGACACAACACUCCCAGCAAGUAUGUGCGUCUGCUGCAGUCACUGAACCGCUGCGUGCAUGAGCGCCUGCGCAAGGCUGAGCGCCUGGACCUGGUGUUGGAGGAGCUCAAGUACAUGUCAGGGGAAUGGUUUGAGGAGAUUCUGCUGGAGGAGACCAUGGUUACGCUCCGGAGGCUGGAGAACCAGAUAUCUGGGCCAAUGUGCCCGAGAUGGCCCUUUUUCUGACCAUGACUAGUCACCUCUGUACUCCAUUAAUGGACCGCGUAGCUAGCAUGACCAUGGAGCACAUCAACAAGGAAUUUUGAGACAUGACAUUUUAUUUCACAUCAGGGAAUACUGUUCUUUUGCCUGUAUAUAUGUAGAGACGGAAAGAAUGAGUCCAUACCAGAGCAAUGUUUUUCUUUUCACUACUCAGCAACUUGCUGCCCUUUGCUGUACUGAAUUAUAAUCCAGCAAGGGUGGAUGAGCUGUUUGACAUCUGCAUUCAGCACUUCAUACCUCACAUCAGUCUCUUUGACCUCAAUCUGCUGGUAGUUGAUCCCAUCUGCUGCCUGUGGCUGAUUUCUUCCCGGAAGACCUGAUUCGAGAAAUCGUCAACGUGGAUUUCCUUGCCAAGCUGGAUUCCCAGUUAGAAAGUUUGUUAUAUAAUUAUAUUAGAAAUAUCCCAAUGAAGACAAUGCCAGCAUCCUGUAUCCCCUACUAUCUGAAAACAUCCUUUUCAGAUAAAGCUAAAGGGAUAAGAGAACCUCUCUGUUAUGUGGUAGCCCUGCCUGACGGCCAAAACAUGCGGAUCCGCCCGCGUCUCACAGAGCUGAAUCGGUCUGUGUGGUUGGAGUGUCCAGAGCGGAUUGGUGUUAAACUCAAAAGGUAAUCAAAUGUGUCACCUGUUCUAGUUGUGAGCUGUAUUUCUUCUGAUCUCCCUAGACUUUGAAUGUGUUCUGGACAGACACCACCAGGCAGUGACCUACAGUGAGCAGAGCCAGCUGCAGAUAUCUGACGGUGGGAAGGUCCACUGGGGUUCUGACUCUGCAGGGAAGGAGAGGAGUGAGGUCCCUCCAGGGGCACAACGUUACUGUGGACGUCUUGGAUUCCAAAUCAUUCUACAAACCGUCUCGUCACAUGAAAGGGGAAAUCAUGAUGAGAAAGACAUCUGGAGAUUCUAGGAUAACAUGUUGUCAAGAUCCCUAUGGAGCUCUCCACACUGGAUGCAUGGAAGGAAUACCUUAGGAAGAAGAUAGUUACUGAGCUUUCCUGAAGCACCUAGACGUUGAAUCAAUGACACGUGUUAUAUUGCUUUUGCUACUGAUGUGAGAGACAAAGUCUGCCUUUGAAAAUGUAUUUUUGCAGGCAGAUCAUUAACAAUUGAUGUUAUUGCCUACUCCGAAUCCUAGAGUGGACAUGCAGUUAUCUCACCUCCUGCCAAGAGAUUGUAUCAUAUGAAGUGUAACGUUUGUCAAACAAUAGUAAAUAUUUGUAAUAAGAAAUAGCAUUGUUUUUGUAGUUUUGAUACAUCCAAAUAAUCUGUCCCACAUAAAUAAAAUACAAAAAACGUU